rnacentral:rRNA from 1 species
AGAGUUUGAUCAUGGCUCAGGAUGAACGCUAGCUACAGGCUUAACACAUGCAAGUCGNGGGGAAACGACAUCGAAAGCUUGCUUUUGAUGGGCGUCGACCGGCGCACGGGUGAGUAACGCGUAUCCAACCUGCCCACCACUUGGGGAUAACCUUGCGAAAGUAAGACUAAUACCCAAUGAUAUCUCUAGAAGACAUCUGAAAGAGAUUUAAAGAUUUAUCGGUGAUGGAUGGGGAUGCGUCUGGUUAGCUUGUUGGCGGGGUAACGGCCCACCAAGGCAACGAUCAGUAGGGGUUCUGAGAGGAAGGUCCCCCACAUUGGAACUGAGACACGGUCCAAACUCCUACGGGAGGCAGCA